rnacentral:rRNA from 1 species
UACGAAGGGGGCGAGCGUUGUUCGGAAUCACUGGGCGUAAAGGGCGCGUAGGCGGCCUUGUUUGUCGCGUGUGAAAGCCCCGGGCUCAACCUGGGAGGUGCGCGCGAGACGGCGGGGCUGGAGUUCGGGAGAGGAGCGUGGAAUUCCCAGUGUAGAGGUGAAAUUCGUAGAUAUUGGGAAGAACACCGGUGGCGAAGGCGGCGCUCUGGACCGAGACUGACGCUGAGGCGCGAAAGCGUGGGGAG